ACAUCUCUUGGAGUUCUAGCUCACCUUUCUGGUGUUGUUCUUGUACUCAUUUGUUUAAUCUAGUUCUGCCACUUCUUCUUGAACUUCUUGUUAGAUUUCUAGUCUAUAUUUUGUGUCCGUGACAGCUACUGAAUUCCAAAACCUUAUUUAUGAUAUGGAUUGGAAUGGCAAAGCACUCAUCAAUCAAUUUUGAUAUAGAUUAAAGGAUAGUAUCAAAGAUUUAUUAUUAACAAUGCCAAAAAUAAAAUCUUUAGAAUAAUUUAUUACUCAAGCC
rnacentral:lncRNA from 1 species